GGACGCAAUGAGGCGGAGGCCCAGGAGAAGGCAGCCAAGGAGUUCGGAGUGUCCCCUGACAAGAUCAGUCUCCAGCAAGGCAAGGCGGGGCUUUGAGGGUUUGGAGGGAGUUGUGGGGGGCAGAGCUCCACUCCCUCUGACCUCUGACCUUUGGCCUCUCUCAGAUGAGGAUGUAUUGGAUACCUGGUUCUCCUCCGGCCUCUUCCCUUUAUCCAUUUUGGGCUGGCCCAACCAGGUGUGUUCCUGGGGCCAGGGCUUGGCGGGACAGGGGACUGGAGGGUGGAUGUUGGCUCCCCUUCACACCCUGGUCUGCCCUCAGUCAGAAGACUUGAGUGUGUUCUACCCUGGGACACUGCUGGAGACCGGUCACGACAUCCUCUUCUUCUGGGUAGCCCGGAUGGUCAUGCUGGGCCUGAAGCUCACGGGCAGGCUGCCCUUUAGAGAGGUCUACCUCCAUGCCAUCGUGCGAGAUGCUCACGGCCGGAAGAUGAGCAAGUCUCUAGGCAAUGUCAUCGAUCCCCUGGACGUCAUCUAUGGAAUCUCCCUGCAGGUGGGCUGGGUGCUGGGCCAGCCAGGAAGGGCCGUGGGGCUGUGGUCACAGCCACCUGACGGCUCCCACUCCACCCUCAGGGCCUCCACGACCAGCUGCUGAACAGCAACCUGGAUCCCAGCGAGGUGGAGAAGGCCAAAGA
rnacentral:sRNA from 1 species